GACGAACGCUGGCGGCGUGCUUAACACAUGCAAGUCGAACGGAAAGGCCCUGCUUUUGUGGGGUGCUCGAGUGGCGAACGGGUGAGUAACACGUGAGUAACCUGCCCUUGACUUUGGGAUAACUUCAGGAAACUGGGGCUAAUACCGGAUAGGAGCUCCUGCUGCAUGGUGGGGGUUGGAAAGUUUCGGCGGUUGGGGAUGGACUCGCGGCUUAUCAGCUUGUUGGUGGGGUAGUGGCUUACCAAGGCUUUGACGGGUAGCCGGCCUGAGAGGGUGGCCGGCCACAUUGGGCCUGAGGUACGGCCCAGACUCCUACGGGAGGCAGCAGUGGGGAAUCUUGCACAAUGGGCGGAAGCCUGAUGCAGCAACGCCGCGUGCGGGAUGACGGCCUUCGGGUUGUAAACCGCUUUCGCCUGUGACGAAGCGUGAGUGACGGUAAUGGGUAAAGAAGCACCGGCUAACUACGUG
rnacentral:rRNA from 1 species